rnacentral:rRNA from 1 species
GAUGAACGCUAGCGGCAGGCUUAACACAUGCAAGUCGAGGGGUAACGAUGGUGCUUGCACCAGGCGACGACCGGCGAACGGGUGCGUAACGCGUAUAGAAUCUGCCUUGUACAGGAGGAUAGCCUUUAGAAAUGAAGAUUAAUACUCCAUAAUGUAUUGUAAUGGCAUCAUUAUAAUAUUAAAGAUUUAUUGGUACAAGAUGACUAUGCGUCCUAUUAGUUAGUUGGUAAGGUAAUGGCUUACCAAGGCGGCGAUAGGUAGGGGGUCUGAGAGGAUUAUCCCCCACACUGGUACUGAGACACGGACCAGACUCCUACGGGAGGCAGCAGUGAGGAAUAUUGGACAAUGGGCGGAAGCCUGAUCCAGCCAUGCCGCGUGCAGGAAGACUGCCCUAUGGGUUGUAAACUGCUUUUAUACAGGAAGAAACACCAAUACGUGUAUUGGCUUGACGGUACUGUAAGAAUAAGCACCGGCUAACUCCGUGCCAGCAGCCGCGGUAAUACGGAGGGUGCAAGCGUUAUCCGGAAUCAUUGGGUUUAAAGGGUCCGCAGGCGGUCGAUUAAGUCAGAGGUGAAAUCCCAUAGCUUAACUAUGGAACUGCCUUUGAUACUGGUUGACUUGAGUCAUAUGGAAGUAGAUAGAAUAAGUAGUGUAGCGGUGAAAUGCAUAGAUAUUACUUAGAAUACCGAUUGCGAAGGCAGUCUACUACGUAUGUACUGACGCUCAUGGACGAAAGCGUGGGGAGCGAACAGG